GAAAACAAACAAAGGCGUGUUGUGUUACAGGAGCUCAAAGUCGGCUAUGUUAGAACCCAUUUCUAGUUCAACCUAUACAGAUAUGUUGACUUCCAUAAAUCAUGAGACGAGUCACCAAAUCCACUUUGACAGAGCUCAAGAAGAAUUGCCUUUGGAAAACAAAAUUCAUCGGAUUAUAGCUUUUCUAAGAGAUAGAAAUGCGAUCUUCGUGUUGAUUUCUCUUACUCUUGUAACAAUUGCUUGCUGCAAACACGCAUUGAAAGUGGAUUUUUACCAUUCUUAUAUAUGAAAAGGCAUAUGCACACCCUUUCAAUUUUAUUACAAUGACACGUUGGUUUAGCUACAAUUACUUAUGCUUUGCAUAUGACAAGCUUGGAGAGUCUGUCAGCUUCAAAUGUGACGUCUGCAACCUUCAUUUCCAUAUUUGAUAUGGAAUCUUUGAGGUUCUCUGACUACAUGAAAGUUUCAGUACUAUCAAUCCUAUGCCAAUUCAAGAUAAAUUCACUGCUAAUAUCAACCGUGUGAAACUUAAAAUUUGAACAGCAUCCAAAACUUGAACAUUCUAAUAGCAAUAUAUUCUUUGCCAGUUGAACAUAAAUUCUACCAAUUAUUUCAACUCUGCAACACUUCAAAUUAAAUUAAGGGUUGAGAUUUCUAAGUUAAGUCAUCAAAGUAUCAUCUAUAUAUGGAUUUACUAAUUGAUCUUCAUCCCUCUGUUCCUUUUUUAUGUCAGAAAUUAAUUUGGCACGCGAUGAAGGAGCGUUCGUUAGAGGUGUUUGAGAGCUGGCCCAGGACUUGAAGCGGUGGAAAUACAGCGAAGUUUAGGAAGUUGGUCAUGGCACACUAGGAGAAGCCAAGUAUAAUUAUUAUUAUGAAUAAAGAUCAUAAUCUCCAGUAGUGC
rnacentral:misc_RNA from 1 species